rnacentral:tRNA from 1 species
GGCAGUGUGACUUAAUGGAAAGGGCUCAGGACUGGAAGUCUUGAGCCCUGGGUUUUAGUCCCAGCUUAACCA